GCAAGUGUGCUGGAAUGGUAGACAGGCUGCACUUAGGAUGCAGUGUCAAUUAUGACGUGGAGGUUCGACUCCUCUUACUUGUA
rnacentral:tRNA from 1 species